AGAGCUUGCUCAGAUAUGACGAUGGACAUUGCAAAGAGUGGCGAACGGGUGAGUAACACGUGGGAAACCUACCUCUUAGCAGGGGAUAACAUUUGGAAACAGAUGCUAAUACCGUAUAACAAUGACAACCGCAUGGUUGUUAUUUAAAAGAUGGUUCUGCUAUCACUAAGAGAUGGUCCCGCGGUGCAUUAGCUAGUUGGUAAGGUAAUGGCUUACCAAGGCGAUGAUGCAUAGCCGAGUUGAGAGACUGAUCGGCCACAAUGGGACUGAGACACGGCCCAUACUCCUACGGGAGGCAGCAGUAGGGAAUCUUCCACAAUGGGCGAAAGCCUGAUGGAGCAACGCCGCGUGUGUGAUGAAGGGUUUCGGCUCGUAAAACACUGUUGUAAGAGAAGAAUGACAUUGAGAGUAACUGUUCAAUGUGUGACGGUAUCUUACCAGAAAGGAACGGCUAAAUACGUGCCAGCAGCCGCGGUAAUACGUAUGUUCCAAGCGUUAUCCGGAUUUAUUGGGCGUAAAGCGAGCGCAGACGGUUAUUUAAGUCUGAAGUGAAAGCCCUCAGCUCAACUGAGGAAUUGCUUUGGAAACUGGAUGACUUGAGUGCAGUAGAGGAAAGUGGAACUCCAUGUGUAGCGGUGAAAUGCGUAGAUAUAUGGAAGAACACCAGUGGCGAAGGCGGCUUUCUGGACUGUAACUGACGUUGAGGCUCGAAAGUGUGGGUAGCAAACAGGAUUAGAUACCCUGGUAGUCCACACCGUAAACGAUGAGUGCUAGGUGUUUGAGGGUUUCCGCCCUUAAGUGCCGCAGCUAACGCAUUAAGCACUCCGCCUGGGGAGUACGACCGCAAGGUUGAAACUCAAAGGAAUUGACGGGGACCCGCACAAGCGGUGGAGCAUGUGGUUUAAUUCGAAGCAACGCGAAGAACCUUACCAGGUCUUGACAUCCCUUGACAACUCCAGAGAUGGAGCGUUCCCUUCGGGGACAAGGUGACAGGUGGUGCAUGGUUGUCGUCAGCUCGUGUCCUGAAAUGUUGGGUUAAGUCCCGCAACGAGCGCCACCCUUAUUACUAGUUGCCACCAUUUAGUUGGGCACCCUAGUGAGACUGCCGGUGACAACCCGAAGAAGAGGUGGGGAAUGACUUCAAACAUCCAGGCCCCUUAUAACCUGGGGUACAACAUGGUUCAAUGGGGUUAUAAACAGAUUGCCACCCCCCGGGGGGGGCUAAUUCUUUAAAAACUCUCCCUUUCC
rnacentral:rRNA from 1 species